rnacentral:misc_RNA from 1 species
UCCGAGUUGACCCCGGCAGUCUCCUAUGAGUCCCCACAUUUCUGCGGCGAUCCGGCCCAUGUCAAGCCUUGGUAAGGUUCUUCGCGUUGCAUCGAAUUAAUCCGCAUGCUCCGCCGCUUGUGCGGGCCCCCGUCAAUUCCUUUGAGUUUUAGCCUUGCGGCCGUACUCCCCAGGCGGGGUGCUUAAUGCGUUAGCUGCGGCACGGAGCGGGUUGAAGACCGCCCCACACCUAGCACCCAACGUUUACGGCUGGGACUAC